UACGUAGGUGGCAAGCGUUGUCCGGAAUCACUGGGCGUAAAGCGCGCGCAGGCGGCGAUCUACGUCUGGGGUGAAAGCCCGGAGCUCAACUCCGGGACUGCCUUGGAUACGGGAUCGCUUGAGGAUUGGAGAGGCAAGGGGAAUUCCACGUGUAGCGGUGAGAUGCGUAGAUAUGUGGAGGAACACCUGUGGCGAAGGCGCCUUGCUGGCCAAUUUCUGACGCUGAGGCGCGAAAGCGUGGGGAGCAAACAGG
rnacentral:rRNA from 1 species